rnacentral:tRNA from 1 species
GCCGGAGUGGCGGAAUGGCAGACGCGGCGGAUUCAAAAUCCGCUUCCCGAAAGGGAGUGUGGGUUCAAGUCCCUCCUCCGGCA